rnacentral:pre_miRNA from 1 species
CUACUACUCCCUUCGUCCGAAAAUACUUGCCAUUGAAAUGGAUGUAUCUACAUGUAUUUUAGUUCUAGACACAUCCAUUUUGAUGAAAAGUAAUUCCGGACGGAGGGAGUAUUAU